rnacentral:rRNA from 1 species
AACGAACGCUGGCGGCAUGCCUAACACAUGCAAGUCGAACGAAGCCUUCGGGCUUAGUGGCGCACGGGUGCGUAACGCGUGGGAAUCUGCCCUUGGGUUCGGAAUAACAGUUAGAAAUGACUGCUAAUACCGGAUGAUGUCUUCGGACCAAAGAUUUAUCGCCCAAGGAUGAGCCCGCGUAGGAUUAGGUAGUUGGCGGGGUAAUGGCCCACCAAGCCGACGAUCCUUAGCUGGUCCGAGAGGAUGAUCAGCCACACUGGGACUGAGACACGGCCCAGACUCCUACGGGAGGCAGCAGUGGGGAAUAUUGGACAAUGGGCGAAAGCCUGAUCCAGCAAUGCCGCGUGAGUGAUGAAGGCCCUAGGGUUGUAAAGCUCUUUUACCAGGGAUGAUAAUGACAGUACCUGGAGAAUAAGCUCCGGCUAACUCCGUGCCAGCCGCCGCGGUAACAC